UACAGAGGUGGCAAGCGUUGUUCGGAAUUAUUGGGCGUAAAGCGCGCGUAGGCGGUUACCUAAGUUGGGUGUGAAAGCCCUCGGCUCAACCGGGGAAUGGCGCCCAAACUACCGUGCUGGAGAAAGACAGAGGUGAGCGGAACUCAGGGUGGAGCGGUGAAAUGCGCAGAUAUCAGGAGACACCGAUGGCGAAGGGCAGGUCUCUGGGCCACUACUGACGCUGAGAAGCGAAAGCAUGGGGAGCGAACAGGAUUA
rnacentral:rRNA from 1 species